rnacentral:sRNA from 1 species
UAUAUAUAUAUAUAUAUAUACAUAUACUUUUGUUUUAUUUAUGAUUCUUAUUAUUUAUAAUUGAAUUUUUUUCUUAGUAUAAUUUUUUUUUUCCUUCACAUUAUUUAUAUAUAUACAUAUAUAUAAUUUUUAUAUUUAUAAAAUUAAACAAAAUAAUCAUAUAUGCUAUAUUAUAAAAAAAUAAAAAAAGAUAUAUAUAUUUUUAUACUUUUAAGGUUUAAUUUUUUGCUAUCCGCCAUUUUCUUAUUAUAUAAAAGAAAAAUGUAUAACCCAAAUUUUCUUUCUUUUUGAAUAUAAUUAUAUUUUUAUGUAUAGAUAUAUAUUUAUAUUUAUUUAUUUUAUAAUUUAUAUUAUAUUAUUGAUUUUUUUUUUUUUUUUUUUUUUCUCUUCUUUUCUUUCCUCUCUCCUUUUUUUUUUUCUUUUCUUUUUUUCUUCAUAUUUUCAUUUUUUUUUUUUUUUUUUGUUUUUGUACAACCAUAUAAAAUAGUUGUAUAAUUCAACUAGAUUAUAUUUUUUCUGUUAUUUUAUUUUUUUUUUUUUUGUAAAAUGUAUAUAUUAUAAAUAUAUAUUAUUUCUAUGUGUAUAUAAUAUAUUAUAUCUUUUCACGGUUACUUUAUAUAUGUCACAAUCUACCUUAUUGUAGUAUGUAAAAAAAUAAAUAAAUAAAAAAGAGAAUGAAAGGAGACUAAAUAAAAAUGUAUAAAUAAAUAAAUACAUACAUAUAUAUAUAUAUAUAUAUCUAUAUGUAUAUGUAAACAUAAAAUAUAAUGUGUUCUGCUAUGACAUUAAUAGUAUAAUUUUUUUUUUUUUUUUUUCUUUCUUGGUUACAAUUAAAAAAAGAAAAGCAAAUUUAUUAUAUUUUAAGUAUCAAUUUGUAUAUCUCUAUAAAAGGUAGGCUCCCUUCCAAA